rnacentral:rRNA from 1 species
AUAAAUCUUAGCGGUGGAUCACUCGGUUCGUGGAUCGAUGAAGAACGCAGCUAGCUGCGAUAAAUAGUGCGAAUUGCAGACACAUUGAGCACUAAAAAUUCGAACGCACAUUGCGUCAUCGGGUUCAUUCCCGUUGGCACGUCUGGCUGAGGGUUGA